AGCGAACGCUGGCGGCAGGCUUAACACAUGCAAGUCGAGCGGGCGUAGCAAUACGUCAGCGGCAGACGGGUGAGUAACGCGUGGGAACAUACCUUUUGGUUCGGAACAACACAGGGAAACUUGUGCUAAUACCGGAUAAGCCCUUACGGGGAAAGAUUUAUCGCCGAAAGAUUGGCCCGCGUCUGAUUAGCUAGUUGGUAGGGUAACGGCCUACCAAGGCGACGAUCAGUAGCUGGUCUGAGAGGAUGAUCAGCCACAUUGGGACUGAGACACGGCCCAAACUCCUACGGGAGGCAGCAGUGGGGAAUAUUGGACAAUGGGGGCAACCCUGAUCCAGCCAUGCCGCGUGAGUGAUGAAGGCCCUAGGGUUGUAAAGCUCUUUUGUGCGGGAAGAUAAUGACGGUACCGCAA
rnacentral:rRNA from 1 species